rnacentral:rRNA from 1 species
AUCGCUAGUAAUCGCGAAUCAGCAUGUCGCGGUGAAUACGUUCCCGGGUCUUGUACACACCGCCCGUCACACCAUGGAGUCAGCAACGCCCGAAGUCAGUGACCUAACCGAGAGGAAGGAGCUGCCGAAGGCGGGGCAGGUAACUGGGGUGAAGUCGUAACAAGGUAGC